rnacentral:misc_RNA from 1 species
GAAAUGCGAUAAGUAAUGUGAAUUGCAGAAUUCAGUGAAUCAUCGAAUCUUUGAACGCACAUUGCGCCACCUGGUAUUCCGGGGGGCAUGCCUGUUCGAGCGUCAUUUCACCACUCAAGCCUCGCUUGGUAUUGGGCAACGCGGUCCGCCGCGUGCCUCAAAUCGACCGGCUGGGUCUUCUGUCCCCUAAGCGUUGUGGAAACUAUUCGCUAAAGGGUGUUCGGGAGGCUACGCCGUAAAACAACCCCAUUUCUAAGGUUGACCUCGGAUCGGGUAGGGAUACCCGCUGAACUUAAGC